rnacentral:hammerhead_ribozyme from 1 species
CUGACGAGUCCCAAAUAGAACGAAACGCGCGUC